rnacentral:rRNA from 1 species
UUUCCCCCCCUGUUCAACAAAAACAUCUCUUUUUGAUUAUAAUUUAAAGUAGGACCUGCCCACUGAAUAAAAUUUGAAGGGCCGCAGUAUUUUGACUGUGCAAAGGUAGCAUAAUCAUUAGUUUUUUAAUUGAAAGCUUGUAUGAAUGGUUUGAUGAGAAGAUAACUUUCUAAAUUUUAUUAUUUAAAAAUUUUAUUUUUAAGUUAAAAAGCUUAAAUUUUUUUAAAAGACGAGAAGACCCUAUAGAGUUUAAUUUAUAAAAGAUUUUUAAUUUAAAGAAUUAUAAAAUUUAAAAUUUUUAUUAAAUUUGAUUGGGGUGAUAAAAAAAUUAGAUUAACUUUUUUAACUUUAACCAUUAAUUUAUGAAAAAUUGAUCCAUUUUUAUGAUUAAAAGAAUAAAUUACCUUAGGGAUAACAGCGUUAUUUUUUUUUAGAGUUCAAAUCGAAAGAAAAGAUUGCGACCUCGAUGUUGGAUUAAAGUUAAAUUUAGGUGUAGAAGCUUAAAUAUUUGGUCCCGUUCCCACCAAUUUUUUCUUG